rnacentral:tRNA from 1 species
UGCGGCGUAGCUUAAUCGGACAAAGCUCCUGCUUGUCGAAAUACGGUAACUCUCACAAGUCAACCGUAUGGGCAGGAAGAUGUGGGUUCAAGUCCCGCCGUCGCAC